UGAGACCGGCGCACGGGUGCGUAACGCGUAUGCAAUCUACCUUUCACAAAGGGAUAGCCCAGAGAAAUUUGGAUUAAUACCUUAUAGUAAUACGACUUGGCAUCAAGAUGUAUUUAAAGAUUUAUCGGUGAAAGAUGAGCAUGCGUCCCAUUAGCUAGUUGGUAUGGUAACGGCAUACCAAGGCUACGAUGGGUAGGGGUCCUGAGAGGGAGAUCCCCCACACUGGUACUGAGACACGGACCAGACUCCUACGGGAGGCAGCAGUGAGGAAUAUUGGACAAUGGGCGCAAGCCUGAUCCAGCCAUGCCGCGUGCAGGAUGACGGUCCUAUGGAUUGUAAACUGCUUUUAUACAGGAAGAAACACCUCUACGUGUAGAGACUUGACGGUACUGUAAGAAUAAGGAUCGGCUAACUCCGUGCCAGCAGCCGCGGUAAUACGGAGGAUCCAAGCGUUAUCCGGAAUCAUUGGGUUUAAAGGGUCCGUAGGCGGUCAGAUAAGUCAGUGGUGAAAGCCCAUCGCUCAACGGUGGAACGGCCAUUGAUACUGUCUGACUUGAAUUAUUAGGAAGUAACUAGAAUAUGUAGUGUAGCGGUGAAAUGCUUAGAGAUUACAUGGAAUACCAAUUGCGAAGGCAGGUUACUACUAAUAUAUUGACGCUGAUGGACGAAAGCGUGGGUAGCGAACAGGAUUAGAUACCCUGGUAGUCCACGCCGUAAACGAUGGAUACUAGCUGUUGGGAGCAAUCUCAG
rnacentral:rRNA from 1 species